rnacentral:misc_RNA from 1 species
CUUUUGUUGUCACAGGUGCCAGCGGAACGCCACCGACAACAAUCACCCCGACAAUAGCCGAGUUAUCGGUUUCGCGGGGGUGAGCGAGACGAGAAAUGGAAGGAGUGGGGUCUCGACUGGGUCGUGCCUCUUCUCGAUACGGCCCAUCAGCGACUGCUGCUGUGUUCAACGGCCCUGUGAGGAAAUGGAGGAAGAAGUGGGUCC